rnacentral:rRNA from 1 species
GACGAACGCUGGCGGCGCGCUUAACACAUGCAAGUCGAGCGAGAACCAUGGCUUCGGCCAUGGGGACAGCGGCGAACGGGUGAGUAACACGUGGGUAAUCUGCCCUCGGCACUGGGAUAGCCCGGGGAAACCCGGAUUAAUACCGGAUAGCCUUUCGAGCUCUUGGGCUCGUCAGAAAAGGUAGCUUCGGCCUCCGGCCGAGGAGGAGCCCGCGGCGGAUUAGCUUGUUGGUGAGGUAAAGGCUCACCAAGGCGACGAUCCGUAGCUGGUGUGAGGGCAUGACCAGCCACACUGGGACUGAGACGCGGCCCAGACUCCUACGGGAGGCAGCAGUGGGGAAGCUUGCGCAAUGGGCGAAAGCCUGACGCAGCGACGCCGCGUGCGGGAAGAAGGCCUUCGGGUUGUAAACCGCUUUCAGGAGGGACGAAGCCACUCGGGUGAAUAGCCCAGAGGGUGACGGUACCUCCAGAAGAAGCCCCGGCUAACUACGUGCCAGCCGCCGCGGUAAAAC